UAGAAGACAUCUGAAGGAGAUUAAAGAUUUAUCGGUGAUGGAUGGGGAUGCGUCUGAUUAGCUUGUUGGCGGGGUAACGGCCCACCAAGGCGACGAUCAGUAGGGGUUCUGAGAGGAAGGUCCCCCACAUUGGAACUGAGACACGGUCCAAACUCCUACGGGAGGCAGCAGUGAGGAAUAUUGGUCAAUGGGCGAGAGCCUGAACCAGCCAAGUAGCGUGCAGGAUGACGGCCCUAUGGGUUGUAAACUGCUUUUAUAAGGGAAUAAAGUGAGUCUUGUGAGACUUUUUGCAUGUACCUUAUGAAUAAGGACCGGCUAAUUCCGUGCCAGCAGCCGCGGUAAUACGGAAGGUCCGGGCGUUAUCCGGAUUUAUUGGGUUUAAAGGGAGCGUAGGCCGGAGAUUAAGCGUGUUGUGAAAUGUAGAUGCUCAACAUCUGCACUGCAGCGCGAACUGGUUUCCUUGAGUACGCACAAAGUGGGCGGAAUUCGUGGUGUAGCGGUGAAAUGCUUAGAUAUCACGAAGAACUCCGAUUGCGAAGGCAGCUCACUGGAGCGCAACUGACGCUGAAGCUCGAAAGUGCGGGUAUCGAACAGGAUUAGAUACCCUGGUAGUCCGCACGGUAAACGAUGGAUGCCCGCUGUUGGUCUGAAUAGGUCAGCGGCCAAGCGAAAGCAUUAAGCAUCCCACCUGGGGAGUA
rnacentral:rRNA from 1 species